UCCCCACAAGGGGAAACCCUGUUUUUGGGUCAGGGUGCAGAUUUAGGGCGAAGGUAUGAAUUGAGUUUUGGUAAGGGUUAGGUAUGUAAUGGGUAGGGUUAGCGUUAGUUUAAGGGUAAGGUUUAGGCUGUAGAAAUGAAUGGAUGUCAAUGGAAA